rnacentral:rRNA from 1 species
UUGGAGGGCAAGUCUGGUGCCAGCAGCCGCGGUAAUUCCAGCUCCAAUAGCGUAUAUUAAAGUUGUUGCAGUUAAAAAGCUCGUAGUUGAAUUUCGGGAUCAGAGUGUCGGUCGUGCCUUGGUACGCACUGGUAUUAUUGGUUCCUACCUUCUGAAGAACCGCGAUGUCAUUAAUUUGGUGUCGUGGGGAAUCAGGACUGUUACUUUGAAAAAAUUAGAGUGUUUAAAGCAGGCUUACGCUUGAAUACAUUAGCAUGGAAUAAUGAAAUAGGACGUUUGAUUCUAUUUUGUUGGUUUCUAGGAUUGACGUAAUGAUUAAUAGGGAUAGUUGGGGGCAUUAGUAUUCAAUUGUCAGAGGUGAAAUUCUUGGAUUUAUUGAAGACUAACUACUGCGAAAGCAUUUGCCAAGGAUGUUUUCAUUAAUCAAGAACGAAAGUUAGGGGAUCGAAGACGAUCAGAUACCGUCGUAGUCUUAACCAUAAACUAUGCCGACUAGGGAUCGGAUGAUGUUAAUUUUUUAAUGACUCAUUCGGCGCCUUACGGGAAAC